rnacentral:rRNA from 1 species
UACAGAGGUCUCGAGCGUUAGGCGGAAUCACUGGGCUUAAAGCGUGUGUAGGCGGGUCGUUAAGUACCUUGUGAAAUCCCAUGGCUCAACCAUGGGAACUGCUGGGUAUACUGGCGAUCUUGUGCAACCUAGGGGCGAGCGGAACAGAUGGUGGAGCGGUGAAAUACGUAGAUAUCAUUUAGAACGCCAAUGGUGAAAACAGGUAGCUGGGGCUGUGCUGACACUGAGACACGAAGCCAGGGGAGCAACGGG